CGAAAGAAAAAUGGUUCAGAUUUCAUGAAGACCUCAUUUUCCACUUUUAAAAGUACCAAUUAUUUUAUUAUUAUACUUUACCUUUUAAAUAAACAGGAUUUUAAUGUUUCUUUUACUUUAUAUUAAAAUAAGUUAUUUCUUUGGCCUAACCAAUAUCAAAAUGUCUUCUCCUGUAGACUGUUCGGAUACCUAGCUGCUCACUUUAAAAGAUGUUAAAAAAUAUUUCCCAAAAGCAAAUAAAUUAGUCAUCAUUAUUGUCACAGUGUAGGAAGAAUACAGCUAUCCAAAUAUGAACGGUCAUUAAUUUAUCAUUUUACAAACAAUAAUUAAGACACAUAAACAUACUGUUCCAAUAUUUGCAGUCUUCUCCUGUAGACACAUAAAAAUCCAAAAUUUUUAAGUAUUUUGAACGCAUCCUUUGAGUUAAAUUUGUUGUGUUGGCAUUACUGCGUUAGCUGUCAUUCAUUCGUCCAUAACACUGAGUAAUGGCGUCUCUUUUAGUGAAAAAUAAUAAUUUAAUAGGAUACACAAGAUUUUGGUCGACUUUUGAAGAUCUUUUCUGUAUUUUGCAUAAAUUGUCAUCAUGCCACGUACCGGCAGAAGUAGGAUUCAGCUUUCGGAUGAAGAGAAAAAAAAGCGUAGGCGUGAACAAAAGAAGCUUAGUAUUCGACGUGCACGCGCCAAAAUGGACGAAGCAGCAUUAGAAGAAAGAAGAAGGCAGGACAGAGAAAGAUAUUACCGUAAAAAGGAACAGGGUAAAAUAAAAACUAUUAAAGACUACACGCCUAGGGAACAACGAAAUAUUAGAAAAAUAUGGAGAGAAAAAGCUAAAUUAAAACGUCAGAAGAUAAAAAAUGCCAAAAAUGCUUUGAAUUUUAUUGAACAGAAUACUCCACCAUCUAGUCCCUCCUUUUCACGUAUGAAUGUUGGUAACGCGACUUUGAAGCGCAACGCACGAAAAUUACGGAAUGAAAAUAGAAGUCUCAAACAAAGAAUACUUUUCUUGGAAUCUAAAAUGGCAAAAUAUCGUAUGAGAGCUUUAA